GGCAGCGUAGCUCAGUGGUAGAGCAGGGGACUCAUAAGCCCUUGGUCGCUGGUUCAAAUCCAGCCGCUGCCACCA
rnacentral:tRNA from 1 species